rnacentral:misc_RNA from 1 species
GAUGAAGAACGCAGCGAAAUGCGAUACGUAGUGUGAAUUGCAGAAUUCAGUGAAUCAUCGAAUCUUUGAACGCACAUUGCACCUCUCGGUAUUCCGGGAGGUAUGCCUGUUCGAGCGUCAUUUGUACCCUCAAGCUCUGCUUGGUGUUGGGUGUUUGUUCCGCCUCUGUGUGUGAACUCGCCUCAAAACAAUUGGCAGCCGGCGUACUUGUUUCGGAGCGCAGCACAUUUUGCGAUCCAGAUCAACGUACAGCGGCAUCCAAGAAGCCUUAUUUAACGCUCUUGACCUCGGAUCAGGUAGGGAUACCCGCUGAACUUGAGCAUAUCAAUAAGCGGAGGA